rnacentral:lncRNA from 1 species
CGGGCAGGAAGCUCCACCCUCACUCCAGGAAGCUCUGGCUUCGUUUGUGAAACCCGACGGGAUGAAGGGCUAGGCUCGCCUCCAGAGUAGUGUAGUUUCUCCCGCCGUGGGCACCCGGCCCCUUGCUACCCCGCAAAAUCUCGCGACCAUUUACUCUGGCCAUCCGAAGGCGCGUGCCUGGGUUGCACUCCCGUGUCCGGCCCUCGAGGUUCUUGCCUAGGGAAGACCCGAGCCCUAGGGCCGUACUUAAGCUGCCUGCGUGCAGGACCCGGGUUUUGCUUUUGCUAAUUUCCUCCCCACCCCAG